UNGCCAGGAACCUCUGCAUCAGGGUGG
rnacentral:piRNA from 1 species